UAGGGAAUCUUCCGCAAUGGACGCAAGUCUGACGGAGCAACGCCGCGUGAGUGAAGAAGGAUUUCGGUUCGUAAAACUCUGUUGUUAGAGAAGAACAGCGCAUAGAGUAACUGUUAUGCGUGUGACGGUAUCUAACCAGAAAGCCACGGCUAACUACGUGCCAGCAGCCGCGGUAAUACGUAGGUGGCAAGCGUUGUCCGGAUUUAUUGGGCGUAAAGCGAGCGCAGGCGGUCAAUUAAGUCUGAUGUGAAAGCCCCCGGCUCAACCGGGGAGGGUCAUUGGAAACUGGUUGACUUGAGUGCAGAAGAGGGGAGUGGAAUUCCAGGUGUAGCGGUGAAAUGCGUAGAUAUAUGGAGGAACACCAGUGGCGAAGGCGACUCUCUGGUCUGUAACUGACGCUGAGGCUCGAAAGCGUGGGUAGCAAACAGG
rnacentral:rRNA from 1 species